CCUUUCAAAAUAAAUUAAAAAAAAAAAAACUGCAAAAGAUUAUGAAGAGUAAGCCUUCCUUUUUCCCCUUUUUCCUUGGUCACACUCUCUUACUCUUAAUAGUUUAUUUUGUAUCCUUCUAGAAAAGCUUUAUGCAUACAUGGCUUCAUACCAUAUGUACAUGAAUGAAUAUACAUGUAAAGGAUUUAGCAUAUUUGUUGAAGAUUUAUUGGUGGUCCAUUAACUCAUGCCUGAACAAUGUGACAUAUGAUAUGGUAUUAAAAUAUAAAGCAUUUGCUCAUGGGGAAAACAUAAUAGAUUAUAGUUCCUAUUACAUAUUACUGCUUAGCGCUAAUCAGACAUUUGUUUCCCGUGACCAUUGAUUUCUGUGGCUGUUUUUAACCAACUUAAGUAUAAAAGAUUGAGAAAAGUUUAGAAAUUUACCGACAGAAAUUAAUCCUUACAUAGUACUUGUACCUGUUAAUUGUGUAGUCAUGUAACAUGGAUAUAUAGGUCAAAAAAAUGUGAACAGAAUGACAGGAAGUAGGGGAAAAUAACUGAUUUCUGGCUUUGUUCUCUGUGUCUUCAGGGCCCUAUCCUCCCCCCAGCUGUUAUUUUCUUCCAGGCACUCCCACCUACAUCAAAAACAAAAGCCAGAAUUUAAGAGCUGGAAGGUGGUGCUAAAAGAGAGGAGCUCCCUUACGUGGGCUCACUGUGGCCACUGAACAAUUAUUCUCAUCA